rnacentral:sRNA from 1 species
UUUGUGAUAUUAGGCAUUUGGAUGAUUGGGCAAAAAGCCAGCUGAUUGAAAUGCUCAAACAGGCAGCAGCCCUGGUGGUAACUGUGAUGUAUAGUGAUGGUUCCACCCAGCUAGGAGUUGACCAGACCCCCAUUUCCUCUGUUAAAGGAAUUGUGGUGUUACUAAAACGCCAAGCAGAGGGUGGCCAUGGUUGUCCAGAUGCCCCGGCCUGUGGUCCUGUUCUGGAGGGCUUUGUGUCAGAUGAUCCAUGUAUCUACAUUCAAAUAGAGCACUCUGCUAUCUGGGACCAAGAACAGGAGGCACAUCAACAAUUUGCCCGGAACGUGCUAUUUCAAACACUGAAAUGUAAAUGUCCUGUUAUUUGUUUUAAUGCUAAAGAUUUUGUGAGAAUAGUGCUGCAGUUUUUUGGUAAUGAUGGCAGUUGGAAGCAUGGGUUAUGGUUUAUGGCAGCUAUUUUGUACUUUGGAGCUUCCUCUGAUACCAAUUUUGGCAGUGAUGGAAAGCCAUGCCAUUCAGGUGAACAAAGAGGAGAUGGAGAAGACGUCAGCACUUCUUGGGGCUCGUCUCAAGGAAUUGGAGCAAGAAGCUCAUUUUGUUGCAGGAGAACCGUUUCUUAUAACAAGCAAUAACCAGCUUCGAGAGAUCCUCUUUGGCAAGUUAAAGCUGCACCUGCUGAGUCAAAGGAACAGUCUCCCCAGAACGGGGCUGCAGAAAUACCCGUCCACAUCAGAAGCAGUGAAUAUCCAAGGUAUCUCCAAGCACCCAAUUCAGAUUACUACACCUAAGAAUUUUAAAGGUAAAGAAGACAAGACUCUCACAAUCUCCCCGAGGGCCAUGUUUGUUUCAUCCAAAGGCCACACCUUUCUAGCAGCAGACUUUUCACAGAUUGAAUUGCGCAUUCUUGCACAUUUAUCUGGAGAUCCAGAACUUCUGAAGUUAUUCCAGGAAGCUGAAAGAGAUGAUGUAUUUUCUACUCUGACUUCACAGUGGAAGGAUGUGCCCAUGGAACAGGUGACACACGCAGACAGAGAGCAAACCAAGAAGGUGGUGUACGCAGUGGUCUAUGGAGCAGGGAAGGAGCGGCUUGCUGCUUGCCUCGGAGUUCCUGUUCAGGAAGCUGCCCAGUUUUUGGAGAGUUUUUUGCAGAAGUACAAGAAAAUCAAGGACUUUGCCCGAGCAGCUAUUGCCCAGUGUCACCAGACAGGCUAUGUGGUGUCCAUCAUGGGCAGAAGGAGACCCCUGCCAAGGAUUCACGCUCAUGACCAGCAACUGCGGGCACAAGCAGAGCGACAGGCAGUGAACUUCGUGGUGCAAGCUCAGAGCCAGCACCUCUGUGUGGAGGCACCGUGAGAGCUGUGGCGAUGGUGCAAAAUGCUGAGUGCACCAUGAACCGUGUGCCAUGGGACCUCAAGACAGCACCACGCGCCCCAUAGGCUCCGCUGCUGACCUCUGCAAGCUGGCCAUGAUCCAUGUCUUCACUGCAGUGGCUGCUUCCCGCACCUUGACGGCCAGGUCAGUGGGUGGCGGUCUCCCAGGGCUUGGAUGGGAGGGUUAGUGUUCUGUGGGAAGACCCUCUGGGGGCUCGCGAUUCUGACUGCUCACCAUCUCUGCUUAUCGGGCCCCCGUCCCCUCCCGAGGCUCUCAGCCCAUGGAAGGCCCUGGGGGCUAUUCACAGCAGGCAUGCAGACAACAACCAGACAUCCACCAGCGUGGGGUGCAGAUGAGGCCUCUCCAGACAGAAAUGCUGUCUCCCCCAGACCCCUCCUCCUCGGGGUGUCUGCACAGCACAGGGGCACCCCUUGGGGCUGCCCACCCCAGAGGCAGGCGAACCCUUCAGCCCCUUGAGCAGGACCCUGGGGACUCCAAACUGCCCCCACUCCUACCUGCUGCUGCCACCAAUGCCAGGCAGUGUGCCCCACGUCCAGCCCUGGCUGCAGCCCCGAGCCCAGAGCCAACAUUCAGACGUGCCUUGGUGGUGGGGGCUCUGCUGUGGCUGCCCCCCAGGCCACAGCUCUCUCUGUCCCUGCCUCAGUUAUUCCCCCAGGGCACAUACCUCAAGAGUGUGGGCAUCCAGGGUACAAGCAGCCCUCGCCCAGCCACCUCCUCCUUGCCAGCCAAGGCCUGGGGGUGCUGCAAGUGGUGAGACACCUCCUCUCCUCAUUCUCCUUGUGGGGGAUCCCCUCAGGAGUCCCGGAGCCCCUUCUGGGAGCUAACCUGCUCCAGCCCCCCACAGUGUCAGCCCCGGAAGGGCCUCUCGCCCUCUGACACACCAUGGACGUUUUCCUACCCCCACCCUAAGAGCCCUCAAGCUCUUGGUGCCAGUCCCGUGGGGGUCUAAGCACUGCCCCAGGGGCUCUGCUUGCAGCUUCACCGGGCUGUGGGCUCUCAGUGCGGCUUUUUGCAGUAACUGAAGUGGUCAGGAGGCAGGAGUGGGGCAUUCAAAGAUUCACUCUCGGCUAGGCACGGUGGCUCACGCCUGUAAUCCCAGCACUUUGGGAGGCCGAGGCGGGUGGAUCACCCUGAGGUCGGGAGUUUGAGACCAAUCUGGCCAGCAUGGCAAAAUGUCGUCUCUACUAAAAACACAAAAAUUAGCCAGGUGUGGUGGCGCAUGCCUGUAGUCCCAGCUACUCAGGAGGCUGAGGCAGGAGGAUCGCUUGAACCCAGGAGGUGGAGGUUGCAGUGAGCCGAGAUCGCACCACUGCACUCCAGCCUGGGCGAGAGCAAGACUCUAGCAAAAAAAAAAUAAUAAUAAGAUUCACUCUCAGUUCUCUUCUGCCCCAUCUCACUGCCAUCUGCAUUCAUUCCCAACACACAUGCAUGCAUGCACACACACAUACAUAGAUGCACACACAUGCACACACAAGCACGUGCGCCCAUACACAUGCACACACAUGAACACACACACGUGUUCACCCAUGCACACAACCCAUGCACACACAUACACGCAAAUACACUGAUGCCAGGCAGCCUCUAGUGCCCCAUGGUGUUCUCAUGGUGUCCUGAAAUCCAUGCAUCCUGCUCACUUCUACAGUUUCUGCAGGUAAAUUAUAGCUUCUCUCAGGAUUUGAGCAGCUUGUGCUAGUUUCCAUCUUGGCAGGAACUGAAAGCCAAAGGGUGGUCUUGCCUCUAAGAUACUGCAAGUCUAGAAAAGUUGAUUCAAGGCUGGGCGCAGUGGCUCACACCUGUAAUCCCAGCGCUUGGGAGGCCGAGUCGGGUGGAUCACUUGAGCUCAGGAAUUUGUGACCAACAUAUGUGUUGCCUCGGCAACAUAAUGAAACCUGUCCCUACAAAAAAAAAGCCAGCCAUGGUGGUGCACACCUGUAGUCCCAGCUACUCAGGAGGCUGAAGUGGGAGGAUCACCUGAGCCUGGGAGUUCGAGGCUGCAGUGAGCCAUGAUCAUACCACUGCACUCCAGCCUGGGCAACAGGACAAGAACCUGCCUCAAAAAAAGAAAAAGUUGGUUCACUUUCAGCCCUUGUGGAAUUGAUAAAGGAAGUUGGCAUGUGAGGAGCUGAGGUCUCUCUCUGUUGCUGACUGAGUCUUUCUAAAAGCUGGAUACAGACACUUUUACUCAGGAACGCAGUUACCCGCUGGUCAUCCUUCUAUCAUCAGCCAUUGGCUGUCACGAGGCAAUGCCUCUCAUAGCAAAAUGCAAAGCAGACUCGUGUGGAAUAUUGGGCACCCCACGGUCUGUGUUUUGUGAACGUGAUUUGUUCUUCCAGGAGUAACGUGAAAGGCUGUGGAUGGUGUCUGGAAGGGACGGGUGCAGGCUCAGUGUGACCGGACAUCUCUGCCUGAAGCACCAGGCAUGAAUCUCGAUCACUGGGAGGCACAUGGUGCCCCUAGAGUGAGCUGAGAUCGCACCACUGCACUCCAGCCUGGGCGAGAGUGAGACUCUGUCU